rnacentral:rRNA from 1 species
AUUGAACGCUGGAGGCAGGCCUAACACAUGCAAGUCGAGCGAGCGGCGGACGGGUGAGUAAUGUAUGGGGACUGCCCGAUAGAGGUGGAUAACUACUGGAAACGGUGGCUAAUACCGCAUACUGCCGGAUCACCCAUAUGGCAUUAGCUAGUUGGGAAGGUAACGGCUCACCUAGGCGACGAGCCCUAGCUGGUGUGCGAGGAUGAUCAGCCAGACUGGGACUGAGACACGGCCCAGACUCCUACGGAGGCAGCAGUUGGGAAUAUUGCACAAGGGAGGCAAGCCUGAUGCAGCCAUGCCGCGUGUAUGAAGAAGGCCCUAGGAUUGUAAAGUACUUUCAGUCGGGAGGCGUUACCGACAGAAGAAGCACCGGCUAACUCCGUGCCAGCCGCCGCGGUAAUAC